rnacentral:lncRNA from 1 species
UACAUUAUGAAUAUACGGUCAAAACAACUCUCAAGAAUUAAUAACGAGAUAAAAUUUGUAAUAGAGAAUGGUAGAAAGCUUAGAAAUUCAUUUUGACAAAGUUUCAAGUUAAGAAUACCUAAAAGGGCAAUUCUGUAAUUUUUACUAUUAAGAAUACGAAACAUUAUUGUGCCAUGCAUUCUAUUUUACUUGAAAUUAUUUCUCUGUGUAUCCCUUGUGCAUGUCUAACUUUUAGAUGCAGAGAAUCAUAGCUAGAGUCGACCCCAAGAGGUUUGGAGCCGACCCUGAUACGUUUGGCACGAAAUGGCACGAAGUGGGACACUUGGCAUGGAGCUUGAACUUGAGUCAAAAAUACUUGGAACAGAGUUUGAGGCGACCUCAGGAGGAGUGGAGUCGACCCCGAAACAUUCAGAGAAU